rnacentral:lncRNA from 1 species
AACCAAAACUCGAUUUGCUUCUAAGUAAACAAAUAUUCAGAAACCAAAUACAAUCCUAAAAAAUUACCAUAGGGUCCAGGCUUGACGGCCUAAACCUAGAAUCACUUGACUUUUAAAAUGGACUUGGGAUUCAGCCUAGGUUAGUCAAGCAAAACCAUGUCUCUUUUUACAGGAUAAGCUCAUAGUAUGGCUCAUUACAUCACUGUUUUAAAAAAAAACAUGAUCAUAACACAAUUAAACUCCCAACAUGGUUGUCUCUGAAUUUCAAUACAUGAAUUUAACAACCUAAUUAAUUACAAAAUUGCAAAGAAAAUAAGAAAAAGUUUCAACGCAUUACAUAAUAAUUUAUGAAUUGCAUACUAACUACAAAGACAAAGAAACUAAUUUAUUACAAAUCUCUGUAUAACCAGCAAAUUGUAAAGAAAUCAUGCUUCUUUGGGCAUGACUUGUCCAUCAAACCAUGGUCUCUUUUUGCGAUCCAUACCAUACAUCAAAGUUCCAAAGCUUCAGCUUCUAAACCUACUGAUUUAGCCAACCUGUGGUUAUAUCUGCAGGUUGCAGCUUAUGACCAAACAGUCAAAAGAGAAUAAAAACAAUAUCUUUAAGUAAAAGGAAUCAGAUGAAAGAGAAAAGGAAAGCAUUGUCAACAAUAUCAAACCUAGAUGUUGCUAUGAGACGAAACUAUUUUCUGCAGUUUUGAGAACAUUUCUAACUACUAAAAUGCAUAGAAAGGCACAUGAAAAGCUAAUUGAAAAUAUUAAACAGAUAUUACUUUCUACUAUUGGAUCAUACAAUCAUACACACAUAGUCAUGGACAAUUUAAGGUUUGCACAAAUAAACUCAUUCCCAUAGAUAGAAUGUGGUUACAUACCUAGAAAUAGUUCAAAUAAAGACCAAAUAAAGGUCACUAGAAUAGCUGAUUCUUCUAAAGAUAAUGAGUAAUAACACGCAGCCAAACAAACAACCAAAUCAAAUUCAAAUUCAGCUUUCAAAACCCAGAGAUUUCAACCCAAGAAAACCAAGCAAAGUUCUUCUACUUCAAGUAAUUUUUCAACUUUUUCAAAGAGAAACCAAAGAAUAAAGUUUCUAAAAUUCCCUAAACCUAAGCUUUUUCAGAAGAGGAAGGAAUUAUUUUUGUGCAAUAAAUUGAUGCUGAAAAUGUAUCUCCAAAUCUAUCUCUUUUUAGAAAAAAUGGAGCCUAUAUAUAGGCUGCCUAUGGGGAGGGUAUCUUUUAGCAUAUUCCUUAUCCUAAGGAAUAAUAGUACAAUCCUUUUUAACAGCCCUUGGUACAGCUGUCCCAUUCUCAGCAUAUUUUUUAAACAGCUGUACAUUUUCCUAAAAAUAUCUGAUUUUUUGUCAGGGUAAAAAUGCGUUUUAACCCUUAGAUUGCUACUUAUUUUAGGUUUCAGCCUAAACUUUCUAAUUCGAAGGGGUGCCUAAAGUUUCUACUUGUUCAUUUAAGCCUUAAAAGUCUUAAAGAAUUGAAAAUUAAACUAACACUUUUCUAAUAGAAACCAGAGGAAAAUUGAAUAAAAAGGCAUCAAUAAUUGAUCAAUUGAAACUCACAUUUAACAAGUAUUCAAUAAUGAACAAUCUAUUUCAAAUUUUGAACAAUUAAAUCAGCCAAUAAGGAAUCAAAUGAUGCUAAAUAUGCUGAUUUUAAACCAAAAAAAAAUUGAAAUAGGAAACUGAAGCCCUACAGGAUAUUAAAAUCAUAUUAAAGUGGAAACCUAAUUAAUGUAAUAUAUGCUUUCAUUAAUUAGACAACAAAUCGAAAGAAGAAAAUAAAUCGAACAAACAAUUUAUAAGCCUAAUUUUAGCCCUACUUGAUCUAAAAGGAUCAGAAUUAACUAACAUGUUCAACAUGCUUCAUGUGAAAAUAAUUCAUAAUUAAACCCUAAAUUAAGCAAGGGAUCAAAACAAAAUCCAUGAAUGCUAGUAUUCCUACACAGUGAACUGAAUCUGAAUUAAACCAAAUUAGCAAAAGUGAUAUUUUAAAUAACAAACUGGAAUGAUUCAGAAAACAAAACAAACUAAUGUAACGUAGAAAAAAUUACUAAUUAAACACAAUCAAAAAACAAACAAUUUUUUACAAACUUAAAUCAAGCUAUGAAUGAAAAACUGACUCGACCUUUGAAAUAGAAAGAAAGGGAAAAUAAAGAAGAAUAGAAAAGGGGAGAGCAAACAAUAGAAAUUUAACAAGGAAUUGGAAGAAAUAAUUGUUAGAAGACCGUUGCCUUCCGCCUUCGCUUUGAUCAACAGAGAUCGUUUUCUUUCAAGAGAUCCAAUCUUGCAUGGAUUUGACUAGAUCUACACAAAAGAAAAGACUUCUGGGAGCCUAAACUUUGAAGGAAAAGAGGAGCAAAGAACUCUGGGGUCAAUUUGGGGAAAGCUAGGGUUUUCAAAUUUAAUCCUUAGAUUUGAAAUUCGAACAAACUGGACGUGAUUCGAGGGGGGCUAAGGGUUGUUUGGGGCUUAGAGAGGGGUAAAGGUCAGAGGGUGUAUGUUUGAAGCGAUUUUGAAUGGUUGAAGUUUUGGCCGAAUUUUGAUCUAAGAUUUGAAAAGGAUGGGGUGAUUUAAAGAAGAAGGAUAUUUGGAAUGGGGAGGUGAAGGGGAGUAUGUGGUAUUAUUUUAGGGCGAUUGGACCACUAGAACCAUCCUGAGGCGAUUUUUGAUGGUGGUUCACGAUGGAGGCGGCGUGGGGUUCAAGGGCGGCUAGGGUUUUAGGUUGUCUUCAAAGAGAAAGGAGAGUAAGAGAGUUGGUUUGG